rnacentral:rRNA from 1 species
UACGGAGGAUCCAAGCGUUAUCCGGAAUCAUUGGGUUUAAAGGGUCCGUAGGCGGCUUUAGUAAGUCAGUGGUGAAAGCCCAUCGCUCAACGGUGGAACGGCCAUUGAUACUGCUAGACUUGAAUUAUUAGGAAGUAACUAGAAUAUGUAGUGUAGCGGUGAAAUGCUUAGAGAUUACAUGGAAUACCAAUUGCGAAGGCAGGUUACUACUAAUGGAUUGACGCUGAUGGACGAAAGCGUGGUAGCGAACAGG